rnacentral:misc_RNA from 1 species
UCCGGUUUGUCACCGGCAGUCACCUUAGAGUGCCCAACUGAAUGCUGGCAACUAAGAUCAAGGGUUGCGCUCGUUGCGGGACUUAACCCAACAUCUCACGACACGAGCUGACGACAGCCAUGCAGCACCUGUGUUCCGAUUCCCUUUCGGGCACAACCGGAUCUCUCCGGCCUCUCGGACAUGUCAAGGGUAGGUAAGGUUUUUCGCGUUGCAUCGAAUUAAUCCACAUAAUCCACCGCUUGUGCGGGUCCCCGUCAAUUCCUUUAAGUUUCAGCCUUGCGGCCGUACUCCCCAGGCGGGGCACUUAAUGCGUUAGCGCCUGCCCUCACGGGGUCGCUCCCCCAAGGACCUAGUGCCCAUCGUUUACGGCGUGGACUAC